ensembl:snRNA U6 U6 spliceosomal RNA
GUACUCACUUUGGUGGCACACAUACUAAAAUUGGAAUGAUACAGAGAAAAGUAGCAUGCCCCUGUUUAGGAUUACACACAAAUUCAUGAAGCACCUCAUAUUUUC